GGGCCAGUAGCUCAGUCGGUUAGAGCAGAUGACUCAUAAUCAUCGGGUCCGGGGUUCAAGUCCCUGCUGGCCCACUU
rnacentral:tRNA from 2 species